CAUCCGUCUGUCUAUAAAGAACCCCUAAACCGAGUAGGCCAUCAGAUGUGUUUAACUUCAAGUUGAAUUAAUUUAACCAUGUAUGCUUUGAUUCUGAAUGUCGUGGUAGCUUUUGCCUUGAUGGCCUGUACUGCAAACAGCAAAACGUCGUGUUCACAGAGGUCCACAGUAAACCUGAAAACUAUAUCGUGUGAUCAAGUUCACCAAUCUGAUCUCUGCCGCUGCUGUACUGUAGAUCCAUGUGAUGGUGUUACCUGCAUGCAUGGUGGAAAAUGUGUAGGUGAAGGUGUUUGCGAAUGUGUAUCUGGUUACAGUGGACCAACGUGCAACAUAAAUCCUUGUGAAAAUGUCGAAUGCUUGAAUGGGGGAGAAUGUGUAGGUGAAGGUGUUUGUAAUUGUACCUUUGGUUUUGGUGGAGCUGAUUGUAGCUUGAUAGUAUGUAACGUGAACGAGUGUGAGAAUAGAGGAGGAGAGUGUUACAGAUAUAGAUGUAAGACCGAUGAUUGUGGCGACUGUGCUAGUGAUGAAGUGUGUUUGAAUGGUACUUGUGUAGACGAAGGUGAUAAUUGUCGUGGUACUACAGAUGACAUGUCUAAUGUGUGUACUGAUCAGGAUGUACCAUGCGGGGAAGGAUUCUGUCGUUUUGGUAAUAAAUGUGUAAACAACACGUGCAGGUUUCGAGGAUUAUGUGUUGGUGAUGGUGAUGGUGAUGUGUGCAAGGUAGCUGGUAAUGAUGGUACUUGUUCAGGUGGUGUUUGUCUCGAACCGUGUAGGCAAUCCAGUGAGUGUAGUGGUUAUCCAUGUAUUGGUGGAUUCUGUGCAAGUGCUGAAUGUGGAGACUCAUUUUGUUAUUACUAAAUGUGGACAACCAUAUUGUGAGUUGUAACCAAACUAGUUUAUGUUAGAGAGCAACUAUUAUUAGAUCCAAUAAAAUAAAUUGUGAUAGUUUACCACUUCUUUGAAAUAAAUAAAUGCUAUUUAGUUCUUUCUUUAUGAAUUAUAAUUCUAAGCCAAUUAUAUAUUCAUCUAAACCAAAAACUUCAAUAUAUUCAUCUGUAUUUCUUCAUAAAAACCAGAUAAACAAAGAUUUUAAAAUGUAACCAAGUUGAAAAAUAAAUAGUUUGUUCUUUGA